CAACAGCAGCCACCCAUCUCUCUUCAACUACUUUCUCAGCUAAAGGUGAAAUAUUUCUGCUCCAACUCAAGGCAUCCAGGAGUCAGACAUUUAUGUUUGAGCUGGCCACAGCUGUAGCCAUGCUCCCUUUGCAGCUGACAAGGAGAAGUGGGAACCUCCAGAAGGUUGUUCAGCUUAGCCUCAGGCAGAUAUCUGUGAUGGAUCAGAAGAUUUGCUCUCAGAAGGUGCCUUUUUGUCUCCACUGAAAGAGUUCCUGUGACCACCAUCUCCUCCCAGGGAUGGGAAGAAUCAAGCCAGCUGUGUUUUCUGGAUGAAGGCUGCAGUAUCAGGCACUGGAGACACUUCUCGUGCUUUAUUCUGGCGUGGGCAAUGUGCUGACAUGGACCUGACCUGUGUGAAGGACACCCAUGUCUUCAAGGUCUCGGGGACCCUGGGGCUGGUAAUGAGAAAUGCUGCCCUGGUAUCACAGGUAUGUGGGCAAGAAAGGCUGUUAAAGCACCUUUUUGUUCACAGAGAGAAAUACUUGCUGCUUGGUGUCCUCCUCCCCGAGUGCUUCUGUGAAGGCUGACCCAAAUGACCCCUGGAAAACAAAUCCUGAGGCUGUUCAGUGCAGGUGACACGAAGAAGGGCUGUUGUGUCCUUGGCAGCUCAGCACUGGCAUUCUGUGGCCCUGCAUGAAUGCAUAGUGGUCCUAGAGUUGGUUCUGGUGCUAUAAGACACUGCAGAGGAAGAAAUCCCCAGCAGAGAAUUUCUGUGUAUUUGAUUUGUAUUUGGUGUUUGUUGGACCUCAUGUGGAAUGUCUAGGGGAUUGUCUUAGCUGCCACUUCUGCAGAGAGGGAACAUUUCUAGUAGACACAUGGGAGACACUUGUCCUGUCUUCAUUCUGAUGUUAAUUGGGAGCUUGGAGGAGUCACUACAAUUCAGACAGGCACAUACUUGCUUGGCUCUGCCUGCUUUUCUGUCUCAGUCACACCAAUGCUCAUGAUUAGCACCGGAAAUGAAAAAAACUAAAGAAGAGAUGAUCCCAGGACUUGAAGCUGGACUGGCCAGGGUCUGGGUCCUCUUGGCCUGAGGGGGAGCCUGACCUUGGCACAACAAACUAUAGCUGGCCUGGUAUGGGUCGAAGCUGUAGGACUCAAAGUCAGAGCAAGGGGAGAGGAGAAAGCCUGGAGCAGACAGAGAAACUCUUAAGUUUCUUAGGUAAUUUCCAGAACUGUUAUUGCUUCCAACUGCUCCUGCCUUGCUCCUCUCCAUCACAGGUCUCCUGAGGCCUGGGGAUGCUGACAGCCUGACCCCCAUCACCCCAUCCUGCCAGACUUGACAGGGGGUUUAGUGGUUCCAAGGGAACAGGAAAUCAGGAGCAUUGUGUGACCAUCGGCUCCCACAAUGACCCUUUUCAAAUGCCUCACCUUAAUAGAGGAGACCCUUUGUCAGCUGCAGCACUGUUUGAAUUGUUUAACAGGCUCAUCUGCUAAAGCCCCUCCUGGAAAUGGUCUCUCUUCAUAUUUUAGAUUCCAGCAUCCUUUUUUGGAAAUUAACAACCACAUGGAGAUGGUCUAAUUGCACAGAGCUUUGUUGAGCUAGAGUCAACGUUUCCUUAACCUCUUAUUAAGCCUAUCAUAAAGGUAUGCUUUUUGAGGUCGUAUUAUUAGCAUGAUGUGUUUGGCUUCAUGUCCAAAGAAAGUGCUCCAAAGAUACUAACACACACUGAAUUGAAGGAAAGAAUGAAGAUGAUUACAUGAAGCCCAGGAAUUUUAAGUCUGUUAAAAGUUUAACUAGAAAACCUUAGUUGUUGAACCAUCUGCUUUUAAUCUUCCUAUUGCUAUGCAGUCUUCUGGGGACUUGGGUUUGGCAACAGAUUUCCAAAUCACUAAAUUAAUCUUGUCAGGUUCAGGAAGCACCAGAAAACCCUUGGGAGGUAGAUUCUGCACUCAGUUCCACCUGUGUGAAGUCACCACCUUCAGCUAACACAGUGACACCACAUUUUCUCUGUAGGAUUGUGUGGUCAAAUAUCUAGACAUGCUGAUCUGCAAACUGAAAUUUGGCUGGAUUACUUGUCUACAGUCUUUUAUGGAUAAAUGACCCUGGAAUAUUCAAAACAAUCUGCAUCAUCAUCAAGCAGUCUCAAAUAUCCAUGUGGAUAUUGAGAAAAAAUUGCUCAGCAGCAUUGCAAUACGAUGAAGGAGGCCUGCUCUGGUAGCUGGGAGGGCAGUGGGGCGCUGGCCAUGGAGAUGUGAUCACUCAAACCAGCUGAGUUGUUGUUCCACAUUUCCUCAUCUGCAGGAUAUUCCAUCAACAGUCAACAGUGAGUUCCUGUAUUAAAAAAGCCCUGUGCCCCCAGGAGCUGGGGAAUGAUAAGGCUCCAGGACUGCACACUCCCCCCAUUAUACUCCUGUUUCUCCAGAGAGUUGGAUUUCUCAAGUGCAAUUUGUGGUGUGGUGUUUGGGGCUAAUUUUUAUGUGAAUAAAUGGGUCCGGUGAGGGAUAAUCAGGGAUCUGUUCUUGGUGAAAUCAAACAAUGAUCAUUCCCUAGAAGGGAAAAGAAGAGGUUGUUUUUAUCCUGCACCUUCCCAAUAUAUGAGGGAAGGCUUUGAAGUACAAAAAUAGUUGCUGUAUUAUACACAUAUUGUAGGAUGUUUACCACUGGAGACUAAUGCCUAAACAAUGAAUUUCCAAGCCACUCCAAAUGUGAUCUGACUUUAUUCUAAACAGUCAUGAAAAAAAACCUGAUUAUAACAAAUGAAACUCUGCUAUUUGUUUUCUUUUCACAGUUGGAGAUUCUGUACACACAGAGAAGUUGCUUAGAGUCUGAAAGUGUUUA